UCGCUGCAUAACGUGUCUUUAUCUCAUGUCUCAAAACUUUAUUUGUUUUCGUUUAUUCCAGUAAAUUUAAUAAGGAUCACAUCUGGGUGGACCCCUCAUCUCUACUGACAGCCACAGAGAGCCUGUCUGUGACCUCCUGAUGCCCCAGAGACUCCAGCCUCAGCCUGAUGAUAUGAACUUCAUGCCAAAGCAGGGCCAUGAGAACACAAAGAAGUGCUGCUCCGGUGUCCUGACCCUGGACACCUGCAGUCCUACAGAGAAAAUCAGAGACCACAGGUGACAAAAAAGGCAAACACAUUUUUACAUUUAUCCACAUGAGAAUAUAACUUUUGUUCUUCACACAAACUUUUUACUUCAUUAUAACGUGUCAGCUGUGUAAACCCCUGAAUGUAAAACUACUUUUCACAGAAGAACUUCUGUGGUUGUGUUUAAACAGCUUCUCUCUUCACCUCUAAACUUAAUAAAAACGCUUCUUUGCUCCGUUGUCCUUAAAACAAAUGACAAGUUAAAUUCGACAGACACACACACACACACACACACACACACACGAACACACAACUGGGACCUGCAAAACAAACUCGUUCUGGCUGAUUUCUGCCUAAAAUGUAAUUUCAAAAACAAAUAUACAAGCGAAAAAUGUCUAUAAACUUAACCGCUUUAAGCUUUUUAGGUUUCUACGGCUAGUUUUUAACAAAUUUAUGUUUAAAACUUCGUAGCUCUCCCCAAUUUCUCUUCCUGUUGAAAACCAUAGCCGGUGCGCAAAGCAUGCUGGGAUAGCCUUGUUCUGUGAGGAUACAACAGACCAGUCUUGAAAUUCGGACAGUACUCGUCGCUGCGCUGUGACAUCAUCAACCUCAAAAUGCACUCCUACAAGCAUCCUUCCCGUGGAUUCGGACACACCCUUAAUGCAGGGCGGGCAUGAAAAAGACAAAUCAGUUCCUCUUUCUUUAUCCUUUUCAUUAAGUCACAGAAUAAGCAAUGAUGAAGAAGAAAAUUAUAAAGCAGUUUGGAAGAUUGCUUUUUAAUUUUAUUUAUGAGUCAAAUCUGGUAGUGUUGAUAUGAAAAUGAAAUAUUAUUUCUGCUACUGCAUAAUAAAAUGAAUUUUUUCCACAUACGCUUCCAUAGUUCUACGCAGAUUAGAUCAGUGGUGAUCGGCGAGCAGUGCAUGCCGGUUAGAUUUGUGUCCGACUUGACGCCGACUUGCUCUGACGUCAUGCAUACGUAGGCAACGAUAACCUCGUGAGAUCAAGGCGGCCGCAGAUUUUGGAGCAAGGCACUACAGUUGCUCUCCAUCGGCUGCAAAACCUAGAGGAUGACGGGAAACGCCUGGCUCUCACCUGAUCUAAGAUCUGAUUGGUUCACAUUUUGAUCCAAACAUCCGGUGGUUGAAUGCAAAAUGUU